UACAGCGGUCUCAAGCGUUGUUCGGAUUCAUUGGGCGUAAAGGGUGCGUAGGCGGCGCGGUAAGUCGGAUGUGAAAUCUCGGAGCUUAACUUCGAAACUGCAUUCGAUACUGCCGUGCUUGAGGACUGGAGAGGAGACUGGAAUUUACGGUGUAGCGGUGAAAUGCGUAGAUAUCGUAAGGAAGACCAGUGGCGAAGGCGGGUCUCUGGACAGUUCCUGACGCUGAGGCACGAAGGUCAGGGGAGCAAACGGG
rnacentral:rRNA from 1 species